rnacentral:rRNA from 1 species
AUAUCAUUAAGCGGAGGAAAAGAAAAUAACAAUGAUCCCCCUAGUAACGGCGAGUGAAGCGGGGAGAGCUCAAGCCGAAAAUCUGGAAGCCUUGCGGUUUCCCGAAUUGUAGCCUCGAGAAGUGCUGUCAGUGAGUGACCUGGGUAUAAGUCUUUUGGAAAAAGGCAUCAUAGAGGGUGAGAAUCCCGUCUUUGACCCAGAGUAUGCCACGUACGACACGCUUUCACAGAGUCGAGUUGGUCGGGACUCCAGCUCUAAAUGGGUGGUAAGAUUCAUCUAAAGCUAAAUAUUGGCGGGAGACCGAUAGCGCACAAGUA